GAUGAACGCUGGCGGCGUGCCUAAUACAUGCCAGUCGAGCGAACGGACGAGAAGCUUGCUUCUCUGAUGUUAGCGGCGGACGGGUGAGUAACACGUGGAUAACCUACCUAUAAGACUGGGAUAACUUCGGGAAACCGGAGCUAAUACCGGAUGAUAUUUUGAACCGCAUGGUUCAAAAGUGAAAGACGGUCUUGCUGUCACUUAUAGAUGGAUCCGCGCUGCAUUAGCUAGUUGGUAAGGUAAUGGCUUACCAAGGCAACGAUGCAUAGCCGACCUGAGAGGGUGAUCGGCCACACUGGAACUGAGACACGGUCCAGACUCCUACGGGAGGCAGCAGUAGGGAAUCUUCCGCAAUGGGCGAAAGCCUGACGGAGCAACGCCGCGUGAGUGAUGAAGGUCUUCGGAUCGUAAAACUCUGUUAUUAGGGAAGAACAUAUGUGUAAGUAACUGUGCACAUCUUGACGGUACCUAAUCAGAAAGCCACGGCUAACUACGUG
rnacentral:rRNA from 1 species